UAACCAGUGCAAACCUUACUUUAAAGCCAAGU
rnacentral:piRNA from 1 species